rnacentral:lncRNA from 1 species
AUAUAUUAGACAUAACAGGGCUACAACUCUUAAUUGAGCUUAAGCAUUUUGGGUUGGUGGUUUGCUAACGGGUCGGAUCGUUACUGUUGGUAUCAGAGCUAAUUACCAGCCAGAAGUGUGAAAUAAGUCUUGACUGAGCCAAGAUCGAAAUGACAAGGCUAGCGAGACGAGUCUCACAUCGCCUGAUACUUUUGAGUCUAAGCCUGCUUAGGACGUCAGGCUUAAAGAGGGGAUGAUUGUGAGACCCCAGAUAGUCCUUUAUAUUAUAUAUAUCAGGGCUACAACUCUUAAUUGGGCUUAAGUAUUUUGGACCGAUGGUUUGUGACCAAUACGUUAUUAUUACUAGCGAGUCAGAUCGUUACUAGGGAUAC